rnacentral:sRNA from 1 species
UGUUGCGGGGCGCGCGCCAGCCUGGGUGCCUGUAUGCGCUCGAGGCGGGGGCGCGGGUUGCGGACGGAGGCGCGGGAGGCGGUUCUGCGCGGCGGGGGCGAGAAUGGACCAAUGGUGCCACGGAGCACAUCGCUGACGGCUGAUUGUGUUCCUUUUCCACAGAUUGUCUAAAGCCCCAGGAAAAAUGGUGGAAAAUUCACCGUCGCCAUUGCCAGAAAGAGCGAUUUAUGGCUUUGUCCUUUUCUUAAGCUCCCAAUUUGGCUUCAUACUUUACCUCGUGUGGGCCUUUAUUCCUGAAUCUUGGCUAAACUCUUUAGGUUUAACCUAUUGGCCUCAAAAGUAAGUUUAAUAUAUUUCUUAAAUGAGGAUAUAAUUAAUGCUGUUUUGGGGAGUCAUAUCAUUUCUUAAACCUACCCAAAUCUUAAAUAUUUGUUCUCUUAAAAUUCAUGAAUAGCCAUAUAGAAAUUGAAAGCUUUUUAAAGAUCGCUAUUGAUACAUCUCUAAUUAAAGAUGGUAGCAUGAACACACAUGUGUAUCUCCAUCCAUUUCCUCCAAAAAUCUUGUUAAAAUGACCCUACAGGAAAAAAAAAAAAAAAACUGAAGAUACAAACCACAGAAACAAUAGU